UAAACUAGGAUUAGAUACCCUAUUAUUUAAAAUGUAAAAUUAUUUGCUAAAUUAGUAUCAGUUAUGUUCUUGAAAAUUAAAAAAUUUGGCGGUAUUUUAGUCUUUUCAGAGGAACCUGUCCUGUAAUUGAUAGUCCACGAUAAAUUAUACUUUAUUUAUUAAUUUACAUAUCGUCGUAGUUUAAAUAUUUUAGUAGAAUUUGAAUAUUUAAAAUUUUUUAUUAAAAAAUAAAUCAGAUCAAGGUGUAGUUUAUAGUAAAGUAGAGAUGGGUUACAAUAAAAUUAUUUAAAGAUAAUUUUUUGAAAAAAAAUUUGAAUUAGGAUUUGAUAGUAAUUUUAAAUAUUUUUUUAAAAUGAUUAUAGCUCUAAAAUAUGCACACAUCGCCCGUCGCUCUUAA
rnacentral:rRNA from 1 species